GACGAACGCUGGCGGCGUGCUUAACACAUGCAAGUCGAACGGAAAGGCCCUGCUUUUGUGGGGUGCUCGAUUGGCGAACGGGUGAGUAACACGUGAGUAACCUGCCCUUGACUUUGGGAUAACUUCAGGAAACUGGGGCUAAUACCGGAUAGGAGCUCCUGCUGCAUGGUGGGGGUUGGAAAUUUUCGGCGGUUGGGGAUGGACUCGCGGCUUAUCAGCUUGUUGGUGGGGUAGUGGCUUACCAAGGCUUUGACGGGUAGCCGGCCUGAGAGGGUGACCGGCCACAUUGGGACUGCGAUACGGCCCAGACUCCUACGGGAGGCAGCAGUGGGGAAUAUUGCACAAUGGGAGGAAGCCUGAUGCAGCAACGCCGCGUGCGGGAUGACGGCCUUCGGGUUGUAAACCGCUUUCGCCUGUGACGAAGCGUGAGUGACGGUAAUGGGUAAAGAAGCACCGGCUAACUACGUG
rnacentral:rRNA from 1 species